rnacentral:piRNA from 1 species
UACUGUAUGCCAAAGCUUAUGCCGAG